ACUGGGGCGCCGUUCCCCACCCGGCGCGGACUUCGGAACCGGCCCUGGGACUGACUGGCUCUACCACUCGAGCGCGUCUCCGCUGGACCCGGAACCCCGGUCGGUCCAUUCCCCGCGAAGAUGCGCGCCCUGGCGGCCCUGAGCGCGCCCCCGAACGAGCGGCUCCUUCCCCGGGACCCCGCGGCUACCCGGGACCCCGACGCCGCGCGGCCGGCGCGCAGGAGCGCAGUGGAGAGGCUGGCGGCGGAUCGCGCCAAGUAUGUGCGGGGUCGGCCGGGGACUGGCCGGGGCGUCGCUUCCGAGGGCAGCGGCCCGGGGGCGAUCAAGUGCCCGGGGAACGACCCUGGGCCCCCGGCCCGCGCCCCGGCCCCGGUGGCGCGCAGGGCUAUUGCGCGGAAGCCGUUGAGACCGGACUCGCUGAUCAUCUACCGGCAGAAAUGCGAAUUCGUGCGAGGAUCGGGCGCCGACGGCCCCAGGGCAAGCCUGGUGAAGAAGCUCUUCCAGGGGCCGGGUAAGGACAAGGCGCCGGUGCCCCGGACGGGAGACGAGGGCAAGGCCGGGAACCCGGAGACGGUCCCGACCACUCCUGGCCCCGCGGCGGACCCCGCAAUCCCCGAGACCCCAGCCCCAGCCGCGCGGUCCGCGGCGCCCUCCAGUGUCCCGGCCGCGCCCCCUGGGCCAGAGCCGCGGGUGGUGAGGCGUCGGGGGCUGCAGCGCUCACAGUCGGACCUCAGCUCCCGCUAUUCCGCUGCCUUGGCCGAGUCUGACACCUUCUUCCAGUACUGCGGCCUGGACCCCGAGGUGGUGGAGGCCCUGGGGAGGGAGAACUUCACCGCGGGGUCGGACUGUGUGACCCUCAAGGUGCGCAGCGUGAGCGUCGCCACCUCCGGCAGCGGCUUCUCCCGGCACAGCGGCGGCGACGACGAGGGGCUGCAGGAGGAGGAGCUGAUAGAGCAGGUGCCCAGCACCACUUCGGUCAUCGAGAGGAACGCCCGCAUCAUCAAGUGGCUGUACACCUGUAAGAAGGCCAAGGAGACCCCCAGCCAGGAGCAGAGCCGGACCCGAGAAGUCCCUUGUUCUGAGACCAGUUCUGCAACUUCUGGAAGAUGUGGAAGCAGGAAUUUAAGCUGUGCUUUUUCUGCUGAAAUUUAUAAGGAUUCAUUUUAGGAUUUCUUGAAAGAUUCAGAAAACUUGAGACGAACAAAGCUAUCUUCACAUUUAUCCUUGACACAAAGAAAAAAGAAAUACCUGUAGAAGCGCAUCGAAAGCUCCUGGAACAGAGUUGUGUCUCAUAUUUGCAAAGAUGCAGAAAAAAUAAACCCGGGACAUCCAGCUUUCUUUUCCUUUCUUCUUUGACUAUUCUGAGAAGCUAUGCGACUAGGAGCACAUUUUAGGAAGCAAACCUUCCCGAUGAUGAAGACUUCUUGAAGGAUUUCAUGGGUGAUUUGGGAUCCCAGGACCAUUUGGCUAGUGUGCCUAGGUGACCACAUGAUUGCUGUUUUACCAGGAAUGCAGCAUCCCAUUGACAAAACAAGUGCUCUGAGAAGGUUUAAAAUACUACAGAGAAUAUGGGAACACAGACCUUGAAAUUUAGCUGAGUUGUAACAGCUGAAACUCCAAGAGGUGUCUUCCUUGUUUGAGGUGAAACUAGUGUUGCUUCCAGAGGGCAGCUGGAAACCGUAAAGCUGUUUGGAAAUCUUUUUGACUGACUUGCUGACAAAGAGGUACUGUGAUGCAUUUUAACAAUAUCUAAGUUGAUUUUUUUUUAAAUCAAGGAAAAUAAAAACCAAGCAUGAAUGCUAUGGUAUGUGCCCCUUUUGACCAUCCUGGGCUGAUUAACAUCAUUUAAAUCAAAGUAAUCAUAAAAAGGCAUAUUCUACUUCAAUUAUGUGGUCAAAUAAGAGUAAACACACACACUCACACAUGCUGACCCCAAUUGCCAGAGCAUUACUGCACUAUAAAUUACGGUUAAUUCCCAAAUUAUACUACUGUUUAUCUUAUUUAACAAGUCAGAAAGCACUUUUAAAAUAACUUGAGGGCUACAAGGUCAUUCUAUUAAUGUCAUUCUCCAUUCGGGUUGUAGGCAUGUGGAAGUACCCAUUAAAAGAUAAGUUAGAGUUUAAAUACUGAUAAACAAAACCUUUUAUUGCAACUGGACAGUUUCUGGAGAGUUAGCGGAAGAAUCUUGGAGUUUCCUUUGGUCAGAUGAAUACAACAUUUCACUUUUGCAGCACUAUUUAGAAUGUACUCCAUGGUUCUCUUGUUCCCAACUUCCAAAAAGAACAGAAAACUUUGGUUUACACAGAACACGGGCAUCUGAGGCAGGACCUCUUCCCUGCCCUUUGAUCUGACUCACACCUCCACAUAUGACGUAAUCAACCCAAAUUUGACACCAAUUCACUCUUUUCUGCAAAGGGCAUAUUUUGAAACAAGGGACAGCCUGAGGGCGGCUAUAAUGAGAAUGUUCAUGGGGGUUACUGGGUCCCUAAUUCUGAACUUGCUUAUGACACCCAGAGUGAAUAGAUUCAGAUUCAGAACCUUCUGAGAAAUAACCCAAAGAAAAUUUGUUACCCAGCCAAUUCUUCGAAAGCUUAAUAUCAAAAUAUAUCUUUUCAAGAAGAAAAUCGUUAGAGAGAAGAAUGUGGAGGGGAGAGAAAUGGGUUUCUCAUUGAUAUGAUAUUUUGUUAACCAUUUCAUUUUGAAUUAUUCAAGUUUUGGUUAAUAUUGUAUUCUUUUUUCGUAACUAUUUUACCGUGAGAGUAGGUCAUUGGGUUACUUAGAUAUUUAUUUUUACACAGUUAUUAGUCUUCAGAUAGUUUUAUUUUACUUCAUAUGAUUUUAGUUUUUGUCAGUAUAAUUUUAAAUCAUGUUUUUCUUGGUCAUCUCUUUGUGUAUAUUGUGUAAUUGGAUUUUCAUUGACUGCAAGUGGAGUGUUUGCCACUCAAUUCAGUACUCAGUACUAUGGUGACUUGUUUUCAAAUAAGUCUCAGAUACACAUUUAGGGAGCCUUUGCUGGCCGAAUAUAGACUCUGUCAGGACAGCAGGUCCCCUGAUCUAAGAAUUUUCCCCAAUGGUUGCUCUAAAAAUGCUGCUAUUUUGCUGUUCACUGUAUUGCACUUAGUUAAAAAGAAGAUAAUGUGAAAGAUGAGAGCAGUUUUUUAAAGGAUCUUUUCAUAUACCCAAUUCCCUUAUUUUCAGAUGUCCCAUCAAUUUUAGAUAUGAAAGCUUUAAGUAAAAGUGUGUAUGCCUUUCUACUGUCAGAACAGGAUGGAUGCAGCCUGGGUCAGAUUUAUUUAAGAUAAAAAUCAUGCAGACUCAUCAUUCAUAUCAUAGGUGAAAAAUGUAAAAACCAAAUGGUUUCCACUAAAGCCACCAAGAUCUUUUAGAAAUGUUUGCACCUUUGGUGGUGGCACAGGAAAAGAGAAGAAUUCAGCUGGAGUGAAUUCUAGAAGUAGAUAUCAGAAACGGGGCAUGAAGAACAGGGGAACUGGGUGGCAUCAGACUCCUAAAGAAGUGAGUUAAUUUUCCUUCCCUUCCAUUCAGAUUCAUGCCACAGCUCCAUAUCUUGAGUAUGUGUAAGAGGUGAGUUCCUUCUUCAGCCAGGGGCGGUGGCUCAUGCCUUUAAUCCCAAUGCUUUGGGAGGCCAAGGUGGGAGGAUCACUUGUGCCUUGGGGUUCAAGGUUGCAGUGAACCAUGAUUGCACCACUGCACUCCAGCCUGAGUGACAGAGCAAGACCCUGUCUCUAAAAAUAUAUAUAAAAAGUAAAACUAAAGAACUUCUUGCCUAAACCUGAAUUACCGCAAUUUGCUGAGUGACUUUGAGAAAAAUCAGACUGUUUAGUUCAGUCGGGAUGAAAAGCUUGCGAUUGCUUCCCACAAGAAUGGGCAAUAGUGACGGCUGCAAGGUACUUUUAUUUGUUCAUGAAAGAACGACAAUUUUUCAAAAUGUAAUUAAACAUAAUAGAAUGUUUUAAACUACUGGGCACUGAAACUGGAAGAAAAAGGAGGCUUUAUUGAACAUUCCCCUUUUUCAGUUGGUUCAAAGUUCAGCACUGUGGUUAUCAUUGGUGAUGCCAGAAAACAUUAGUAGACUUAGACAAUUGCUAUGGCAGUUUCUAAACAGAGCUUUUUCUAUACACUAUUUGCAACUGGAGUGCAAUAUUGUAUAUUCUGUGUUAAAGAAAUAAAGUAUUUUUAUCAUUUAUUAA